rnacentral:rRNA from 1 species
UCCGUAGGGGGCUAGCGUUGUCCGGAAUCAUUGGGCGUAAAGCGCGCGUAGGCGGCCCGGUAAGUCCGCUGUGAAAGUCAAAGGCUCAACCUUUGAAUGUCAGCGGAUACUGCCGGGCUAGAAUCCGGAAGAGGCGAGUGGAAUUCCUGGUGUAGCGGUGGAAUGCGCAGAUAUCAGGAGGAACACCAACGGCGAAGGCAGCUCGCUGGGACGGUACUGACGCUGAGGCGCGAAAGCGUGGGGAGCGAACAGG